rnacentral:rRNA from 1 species
AAGGUGGUGAAGCAAUUGAUGCCCCGCUUCCAGGAAAAGCCUCUAAGCUUCAGGUUACCAACAAUCGUACCCCAAACCGACACAGGUGGUCAGGUAGAGAAUACUCAGGCGCUUGAGAGAACUCGGGUGAAGGAACUAGGCAAAAUGGUGCCGUAACUUCGGGAGAAGGCACGCUGGCGGUAGGUAAAGUCCCUCGCGGACGGCGCCCAAGCCAGUCGAAGAUACCAGCUGGCUGCAACUGUUUAUUAAAAACACAGCACUGUGCAAACACGAAAGUGGACGUAUACGGUGUGACGCCUGCCCGGUGCUGGAAGGUUAAUUGAUGGGGUUAGCGCAAGCGAAGCUCCUGAUCGAAGCCCCAGUAAACGGCGGCCGUAACUAUAACGGUCCUAAGGUAGCGAAAUUCCUUGUCGGGUAAGUUCCGACCUGCACGAAUGGCGUAAUGAUGGCCAGGCUGUCUCCACCCGAGACUCAGUGAAAUUGAACUCGCUGUGAAGAUGCAGUGUACCCGCGGCAAGACGGAAAGACCCCGUGAACCUUUACUAUAGCUUGACACUGAACAUUGAGCCUUGAUGUGUAGGAUAGGUGGGAGGCUUUGAAGUGUGGACGCCAGUCUGCAUGGAGCCAACCUUGAAAUACCACCCUUUAACGUUUGAUGUUCUAACCUAGGCCCAUAAACUGGGUCGGGGACCGUGUCUGGUGGGUAGUUUGACUGGGGCGGUCUCCUCCUAAAGAGUAACGGAGGAGCACGAAGGUUGGCUAAGCAUGGUCGGACAUCAUGCGGUUAGUGCAAAGGCAUAAGCCAGCUUGACUGCGAGAGUGACGGCUCGAGCAGGUACGAAAGUAGGUCUUAGUGAUCCGGUGGUUCUGAAUGGAAGGGCCAUCGCUCAACGGAUAAAAGGUACUCCGGGGAUAACAGGCUGAUACCGCCCAAGAGUUCAUAUCGACGGCGGUGUUUGGCACCUCGAUGUCGGCUCAUCACAUCCUGGGGCUGAAGUAGGUCCCAAGGGUAUGGCUGUUCGCCAUUUAAAGUGGUACGCGAGCUGGGUUUAGAACGUCGUGAGACAGUUCGGUCCCUAUCUGCCGUGGGCGUUGGAAGAUUGAGAGGGGUUGCUCCUAGUACGAGAGGACCGGAGUGAACGCACCACUGGUGUUCGGGUUGUCAUGCCAAUGGCAUUGCCCGGUAGCUAAGUGCGGAAGAGAUAACCGCUGAAAGCAUCUAAGCGGGAAACUUGCCUCGAGAUGAGUCUUCCCUGUCGCUUUAAGCGACCUAAAGGAACGUUUAAGACUAAGACGUUGAUAGGCUGGGUGUGUAAGCGUAGCGAUACGUUGAGCUAACCAGUACUAAUGAACCGUGAGGCUUAACCUG